CCUACGGGCGGCAGCAGUGGGGAAUAUUGGGCAAUGGGCGCAAGCCUGACCCAGCAACGCCGCGUGAAGGAAGAAGGCUUUCGGGUUGUAAACUUCUUUUGUCAGGGACGAAGCAAGUGACGGUACCUGACGAAUAAGCCACGGCUAACUACGUGCCAGCAGCCGCGGUAAUACGUAGGUGGCAAGCGUUAUCCGGAUUUAUUGGGUGUAAAGGGCGUGUAGGCGGGAAUGCAAGUCAGAUGUGAAAACUAUGGGCUCAACCCAUAGCCUGCAUUUGAAACUGUAUUGCUUGAGUGCGGGGGAGGCAAUCGGAAUUCGGGGUGUAGCGGUGAAAUGCGUAGAUAUGCGGAGGAACACCAGUGGCGAAGGCGGAUUGCUGGACAGUAACUGACGCUGAGGCGCGAAAGCGUGGGGAGCAAACAGGAUUAGAUACCCCUGUAGUC
rnacentral:rRNA from 1 species